GGGCGCCUGGGUGAGUCCCUGAGGCCACGGAGCGGGCGGCUGGUGCGGGAACCUGGGACAGCCCGGGGAGCCCCUGGGAAGGAGGACAGGGGCCCUGCCCGCUGGCCUGUGCCAUGUGCUCGGGUCCGAGCGCAGUGCUGGCUACGCCGGGGUCAGUGCCUAGGUCCCGCGGGUGGAGGUGCAUGGCGACCGCGCGGCGUUGGGAGUGGGCGGGCGGGCCGACCAGCACCGGGAAGCCUGUCAUAUUCUGAAGCUGUUGGGCCUGAGCCGUUGCCAAAUCCGCUAAUCUCAGCGCUGGCGGGUUCCUCUUGCUCAAAGGGGGCUCCAUCAUAACUAUACAAUCAGGCCCAUGGACCCUCACUGGGGGGACUUUUUCCCCCUCUGCCCGCCUUCAAAAACAUGUAUAUAUUAGGGGCUCUUUAACUUCUUGUGUCCGGGCCUCCUAGCUGCUUAUUCUUGUCCCCACUCUAUCCUCCAGCGAUUGGCAGAGUGAACACCACAUUUGAGCUGCACAGUGGGACCGAGUUUUUGGAAAUGGCACGGGUGGGAUUGGAGGGAGCCGUGUGAUUGGCAGCUGCCUCGGCUGCGCGAUUGGCUCUGGUUCAGGCUCUGGGCCCAGCGGGAAACCGCCCCCGUGUACCACACCGCCUGUGCUUUCACUUCGUGCCCCCUCUUCCCCUGGAGCUCUGCAUCCCGGCUUCCCCUGAGAUGCCUAAGUUUCCCUUGCAGAAAGUUUGCACUUGGCCGCCGGGCUCAGUCCCCUUCGAAUGCCAGUCUCCGGGUCGACCUGCCUGGCGCAGAGCGUCUGCUAGCUCCGUGCCAAAGUGGACGGGAAUGAGAGAGGUCAUGGGACCUCCCCACCAGGGCGGUGCCAAAAACUUAUCAAAUGGACUCUGUCUGUCCCUGGGCCCACGUGGAGUGCAGACUGUAGGUGUAAUAAGGACAAUUAUUAAACUAUAUUGGUCACAAAACAAUUUGAUGGAGCGCGGCAAACUACCAAAGUCAAAAUAAUAUAUAAUAAAUCUUUCCCCAAAGGAACAGUCUUGCUUAGACUUUUUAGCUCAUGGAUUCGACAUGGUUCAGAGGACCUAACCUCACACUACGAGUGGGUUCUAGAUCUGCUACUCCCAAUUAGAGCUCACGGAGGAGGAGGUGGGCGGGGUGGGGUGCGGUUCGAACUUUUGCCUCUCAGAGAGAUACAGUGUCAGGGAAGGCCCAAUGGCUACUCUCCUAAGUGUAAGCCUUUAAAUAGGAGAUGUCUUUUUAAGCAAAAUUCCUCCUUGCCCAGAACGCAUGCCACAUAUGUGCCUCGGUUUCUCUGAAAGGAC
rnacentral:lncRNA from 1 species